AGUGAACGCUGGCGGUAGGCCUAACACAUGCAAGUCGAACGGCAGCACAGAGGAGCUUGCUCCUUGGGUGGCGAGUGGCGGACGGGUGAGGAAUACAUCGGAAUCUACUCUGUCGUGGGGGAUAACGUAGGGAAACUUACGCUAAUACCGCAUACGACCUACGGGUGAAAGCAGGGGAACUUCGGAACUUGCGCGAUUGAAUGAGCCGAUGUUGGAUUAGCUAGUUGGCGGGGUAAAGGCCCACCAAGGCGACGAUCCGUAGCUGGUCUGAGAGGAUGAUCAGCCACACUGGAACUGAGACACGGUCCAGACUCCUACGGGAGGCAGCAGUGGGGAAUAUUGGACAAUGGGCGCAAGCCUGAUCCAGCCAUACCGCGUGGGUGAAGAAGGCCUUCGGGUUGUAAAGCCCUUUUGUUGGGAAAGAAAUCCAUCUGGUUAAUACCCGGGUGGGAUGACGGUACCCAAAGAAUAAGCACCGGCUAACUUCGUGCCAGCCGCCGCGGUAA
rnacentral:rRNA from 1 species